rnacentral:tRNA from 1 species
GGGAAUGUGGCUCAGUGGUGGAGUGCUUGCCUGGCAUGCAUGAAGACCUGGGAUCAAUUCCUCAACUCCA